rnacentral:rRNA from 1 species
UACGUAGGGGGGCAAGCGUUGUCCGGAAUCAUUGGGCGUAAAGCGCGUGUAGGCGGCUCGGUAAGUCCGCUCUGAAAGUCCAGGGCUCAACCCUGGGAUGCGGGUGGAUACUGCCGGGCUCGAGUCCGGAAGAGGCGAGUGGAAUUCCUGGUGUAGCGGUGAAAUGCGCAGAUAUCAGGAGGAACACCGAUGGCGAAGGCAGCUCGCUGGGACGUGACUGACGCUGAGACGCGAAAGCGUGGGGAGCAAACAGG